AGGUUUCCUCCAUUGGACUCGCAAAGGAGGAUGUGAAAGGAAAGCUGCUAGACUAGGAAAUCAAAGUUGAAAACUGUAGACGUUGGCAGAGCUCCUUCCAGCUUUCUGACAAGUAACCUCUGGCUGUUCCGGGGUCGCUCUAUAAAGGGGGAACUCUGGCUGGAAGCACGGCUUGAGACUGUGUGCAGAGGUGCUGAUUUCCCUCUGUAGCCUGGCCAGCUGUCCUGUGGGCGAGUGGUUAGUCCCUUCUGCAUCCAGGCUGCUUUCCACUGUGGAGAACUAGACUUCCCUUCAGGUCUUCGGGUGUCUCAUUGUCUAGAUCAGCACCAUCCAAUAGAAAUAUAAUGUGAGCCACAUUUGUUUUUUUAAAACUUCCUGGAAACUACAUUAAAAAAAGUGAAAAGAAACAUGAAGUUAUUUUUAAUAAUACAUUGUCUGUAACCCAGUGUACCUAUAACGUUCUUAUUUCAACGUGUAGUUAACAUUAAAAUAUUAUUGACGUUACUUUGUCUUUUCACAUUAAGUCUUUAAAAUCUGGUGUGUGUUUCUCACACUCGCAGCACCUCUCACUCUGAAUCAGCUACACUGGAAGUGCUCAGCAGCUCACAAGGCAGGCGGCCCCACGUUGGACCGCGCGAGUCUAGGUCACUGGAGAGGCUGGGGGUGGGCAGUCAGCUUGGAAUUAAAUGGGGUUAGCAUUUGUCAGGUACAAAGUAGGUGCCUAGGCGUUUCAUAUGUGCUGUAUCGUCUAAUCCUCCCGGAUGUCCUGCGGAGGAGGUGGUGCUUUCCCCAUUUUGCAGCCGAGGAGAUGGAGACUUGAGGUGGUGAGGAGGUCUCGGGUCACAGCCCAGAGGGUGCGAACCAGCGUUUGCGUUCUGCCGGGCACGCUGUGCCCGGGCUGGACUAGGUGAACUGAGGAUCGCAGGGCAGUCCUCUUAGCCUGACUCCUAGCGGGGGUUCUCAGGGGAGCUUGGUUGGUGGCAGGGCUGGCCUUGUGGGCAUGCCACCGAGUCGUCACGCGGAGCCCCGUGCUGGGUUUAAUGCUCUGCUGUCCCCCUCUGACGAGCUCUGCAGUUUCAGUUUGCGCUGGGCCUCCCCUGGUGGCGGUGCUCUUAGAGGAGCCCGAGAGGUGGCGAGAAUGAGUGGCGGCCCCCGAGCGCCCACUGCAUCCUGGGCCCUGCCCCGUAGACGCGGGUCAGCUCGCUCAGUCUUCAAGCAGCUCUCUCAGGUUGGAUCGUUCUGCCCGCGCUGUGACUAGGAAACCAAGGCGCUGGCGUGUAGGGUGCCUGCCUACGUCCGCAGCUAGUGAAGGUGGAGCAGCCCGCCGUCCCGCUCAUCAGAGGCCUCCUGAACAGUGACACCCCUUAAGAAGCUUCCCGAAGAGGUUCAGGAACAGAGCAAGGUGGAAUUAAGGGUGAAAUGGGAAAAGUGGAGGUGGCUCGGAUAUUUUAAGCUCCUGUCACUUGUCGUAUCCAUGAGGCUAAAGCCCCAGGCUGGUCCCAGGCAGGCUGGGUGAGCCCAGUGAGCUGUGUCCCUGCCCCGGGCUGCAGGAGACGGAGGAGCGAGGCUGAGAUGGGACGCGGCAGCUCGGCCCGCGUCCGUCCCCGCCGCGAGGGCACCUCCUCGUCUCUCGUGCACUGAGGUUCAGUGCAGCUUCCAAGGCAGCCGCCAUUCCUCCCGCCUGUCAGUAGUAAUGACAGGAAGCAGCACACGGACCUGGGGCUGCUUUUCCAAAGGGUCCUUUCGAGGACUGUUGACCACUGUUGGGUGGUGGAGGGUGGGAGGCAGGAGAACUGUGGGGUGAAAGGGGAGGACGGCUCUCUUGGAGGAAUUGGAAUCAUGUCUCUUCACUUUGUGUCUGACUCUUCGGAGCCUCCAGGAAGGGGCUCGGCUACAGGCUGGGUGUUGGGCUGGGCACGUGUCCGCGUCCUGCAAAGCCAGGGUUGCAGUCUUCAGUGAAGCUUCUCCCUCCUCAUCCAGCCCACUGGCCUGGGAACCUCGAGGGCACUGUGAAUACACGUGGGUCCCAGUGCUGGCAUGCAUAGGCCCUCAGGUCAGAUCUGUGUUGAAUGCGUGAGAGCAAGGAUGAACAAGAUGGACGGGACAGCAGUAAGGUUUAAUCCGUUAACGUUCACUUUAUCCAUGUGAACGAUUGUGCCUCCACCCUUUCAGCUCAUGUUGCAGGGUUCUGAUGUGUCGUUCAGACGCGCUUCAUGGGAAUGGACUGUCCCUUUGCAGGAAGGAUGGUCUCAGCUGUGGCCAGCUGCCGAGGAGUCGCCAGCAUACAGGACAGGUGCGUUCAGGACGCUCUGUAGGGCUUUGAAGGUAGACACCCUGCUGGUCUCCGCUCUUGGGUCAGACCUCAAUUUGGAUGUCCAUGAAUUGGGUUUGUAUGAGGGCAGAUCCCCAGAAGAUGUCUGGAAACGUUCGGGGCAGAUAAGGACCCGUAGCCCCUUUGGGACUCAGUUUCUUCUUCUGUAAAAUGCGACUUUGAAAAGGAUAAUCUGUAGACCUUGGAAUCGGUCUGUGUGAUCAUCUGAGAGGCAGAAGAUGAGGCACCGCGACAUCUUUACUUCAGUUUAUUGUGUUGAUAAUGGUUAGCUUGUCGCUUUCGAGGGGCAUUUAUUAGUAAAAUUCUAGUUGUUUCAUCUUUCCACAGCUGCUCGUUUUGUCAGAGCUCCCUCUUCGAGCUCCUUCACGCAAGGUGCUCAUUUAAGACGGAGGCUACCUGGCUAAUGCCCAGCCUGUGCCAAAGAUGGUGCUUGAAAAUGAGGUCGUGCUUAGCUGAGCAGUAGCUGCAGCAUCGAGGCAUGCCAGCGGGUCUGUUAGUUUCACCUUGUGACCUGAAUUGAGCCUGAAGGCAGCUUCGGAUCCUGUGGAGUCGUGUGUCGGUUGCUCUCUGAGUCAUUUGGAAGAGUAUCUGGAGCAGCUCUUGUGUAUCCCAGGGAGUGAUAUCCGGCUGCCAGUGCGGUUCCGGUUCCGAGGCUAGGAGCCCACCGCCCACUUCACUAAGCCGAGAGGGGAGACUUGAUCCUGGAAGUGCUUUCUUUAGUACUGCAGGGUAGCAAAUGCAUCUCCUGACUUGUUUAAAACAAAAACAAAAA